rnacentral:rRNA from 1 species
AUUGAACGCUGGCGGCAGGCCUAACACAUGCAAGUCGAACGAAGUGGCGAACGGGUUAGUAAUACGUGGGUAACCUGCCCUCCUUUUUGGGAUAAGCCUUGGAAACGGGGUCUAAUACCGAAUAAAGGGGGAUGGGCUCGCGGCCGUUCAGCUUGUUGGUGGGGUGAUGGCCUAGCAAGGCGGUGCCGGGUAGCCGGCCUGAGUGGGUGAUCGGCCACAUUGGGACUGACAUACGGCCCAGACGGCUACCGGAGGGAGCAGUGGGGGAUAGUGCGCAAUGGGGGAAAGGCUGCUGCAGCUACGCGGCGUCGGGCAUGAGGGCUUAAGGGUUGUAAACCUGUGUCGAUAUCGAACGGGUACCUGAAGAAGAAGCGCCGGCUAACUACGUGCCAGCAGCCGCGGUAAUUC